CCUCUCAUCUGUUUGAGGAGUCUCAGCUCUCCUGCAGCUGUGGCCUGUGAGCCCAAAGAGCUCCUUAACCAUCCCUUUUCCGGUGUUCCCAUUGGCAUCUGUGUUCCACAGGACGACUAUGCGGAGGCAGAGCCAAGCAGAGAGGAAGAAAUGUUCUGGGGGAUAACCAGGGGCAGACCCAGUGCCCUCCUGCUGAAGUGCUGGUAAACACUGACACUCUGGGAAAGCGAAUAGCCUGGUGGGCAGACAAAACACAGAAACUGCUUAACAGUGUUGAUCAGACCCUUCAGGGCUCUGCUGUAAACAUAGGGGCAGCUGCGAGAAAAGCUGGAGCAAUUGACAGCCUCUCUCCAUCCUGCCCCGGUGACUUUGAAGACAAAGGUCUGAUGCAUUUUUCUUUGAGGGUUGUACCUCAAAUGAGAGUAUGCUCCUCUCGUUCUUCAGUUGAUUAGAUGAAAGAGAUAAAACGCCUUGUGCAUAUUAAGUUCCCCCUGCAGGAGGUGAGCAGGCAGAUCUUCACUGUAACCAUGCGUCACUGCCUGGAUUUGAAACAAACACACCUACGAAGACACACUGGGCGUAGACUCAGUAAAUAACCAGCUGACUGGCACCCAAUUUCUGCCACUGAGUUGUUUUCCUCAUCUGUUUUUCUCCUCAUUUUUCACUGCUUUGGAGCUGUCCUGGGUGGCAGCCUCCUCCCCAUUAGCAUGCAGUGCCAUCCUUCCUCUUCCACCUUCAGAGUCCUGGGACCCAGACUUAGUACGGAGGGGAGAAAUGAGGGCAGGGCUAAAGAGGAAUGCAUAAAAAAUAAAUGAGCCAUUCAUAAAACUGAAUAUUAUUACCAAAAGGAACCGUCUGCCAGCAUCUCCAUGUAUAUAUUAACUCAGCUGCUAUCUCUGUAACAACAAGGAAUUAAGCCAAUGCCUCAUCUUUUUAGUGGCUGCUCAGUUGAUUUAGUAUUAACUUUAAACAACCAAUUGUGAAAUGAGCACUUCACUUUGCCAUAAUGAUGAUGAGGUUUCGCCUGUACUAUUUUUUAUAACGUAAGCCUGAAAAUUGGUAAAAUAAAUUCAGCUGUGCUUAGAACGUUCUUACAGCUCUCCCAAGGAGCCAGAAAUUCAGGUGGGGGGAAAUUGCUUAAUUUAACCAGCUUCAUGAAGUCAUUUCCACAAAUUCUAAAAACUGGCUUUAUUUUUCUUUAACUUGGCAUAUCUUUCCCUGAAAAUCUGAAAUGCCAAGAUGUUGGACUUUUUGCUGUCUACAUGAGUAACCACAGAUUGCUUCUUUUUUUUUUUAUCCCUUCACACUGAAAGGCACACAUCUUGGAUGCCUCUCUUUUCCUCUGAGGCCUGCAAGUCUGUCUAUGAAAGAAGCCUGCGAAGAGCCCUCGUGUUGACAGCCCUGUCGCAGAGACCGUCUGAGCACCUGUUUCUUAUUUCUUGCCUGGCGUUCUGCUGGGUCGCAUGCAUCUUUUCAUUCUUUGCCUCUCCCAGUUGAUGUUGUGUUCUGCCCCCUCAUGAAAACUGUGACUAUACAGAAAAGGCGACUGACUUCCCCAUGUGGCUCAUGGAAUCAGUGUCAUCACUUUGCAGUCACCCCUUGUAAAUCUCUACAGGCUACAAGCCUGUGUCUGUCCCCUGCGGUUCCGAGAACAAUCUGCAGCAAACACUGACAGGAAGGGCCAUUAUGGUCACUGAUGUUCUCACCAUCUGGAAUGGUUACAGUUGUCAGGCUCUGAGAUGACUCACUGUGCUGAGGAAUCAUUUCUCUAAUGGCAGCACUAAUCAGGAGGGAUGAAGCCGUUGCUAAGUGCUGCUGCGUGAAGAAAAUACCCUGCCAGAUGAAAAGGAAGGGCCGUUGCUUUGCUUUUGCCCAUUUGAAAAUGAAGUGGCUCCGAAUGUCAUCUUUGCAUCCAUCUAGUGAUGGGCCAUCCUUCAUGUUGGAAGCUGGCACCUAUGUUUUCAUGGACAGAGGACCUGCGCCGGGCUCUCUGUCCUUCCUCUCUGUGGCCAGCUAAGCUCCCCACUCAUCUCUGAAUACUAUUCAAAUUUGCAGCCAGUUUGCCAGAAAGGAAUGGAAAUGCUAUCUAGUGUGGCUUUUGACAUUCUACUUCAGGACAGCUGUAUUUGUACACCUUGGGAGAUAUGCACAAGAAGUAUUGUUAGUUAAGCAACCUUUAGAAGUAUGUAGGUUGCAUGCUGGUAUCUCCUCAGACUUAGCACUUUACUGCUACCAUAGAAUCGUAAUCAUAAAAAAUCUGGUACACAGUAAGACGGUGCCUAGAGAACAAUGGACAAGAUUUUGGCAGCUUAGAAGACAAUCUCCAGGUAUGAAAGUAAUUCUCUGUUCUUCCUAACAGCUUGAUCAUUUUGAAGACAACCCCAUAUGAAACAAAGUGA
rnacentral:lncRNA from 1 species